CAGGAAAUAAAUCAAGUAGUUAAUCUCUCCCAUCUAGUCAACCAAUCUAAAUUCUGGAUAUUUUGGUGUGAGGAUCCCUAAAAGGCAAGCUACAGGACUCUAAAUUAAGCAAGAUUAGAUCCUACAGAAUUUUGAGAGAAGCAAGAAAGGAACAUAAUUUACAGAAUUAAAUUUGGAUUCCAGAUGAGGUGGCUACAGUAGGUUGAAGUUGGUAACAAUGUUGGACACAAUAAGAAACACCCGAUACACCCAGAUUCUUCUUAGUGUUUCUUGGCACAAAGAUCUGAUAU
rnacentral:lncRNA from 1 species